AUUGAACGCUGGCGGCAGGCCUAACACAUGCAAGUCGAGCGAGCGGCGGACGGGAGAGUAAUGCCUGGGAAUUGCCCAGUCGAGGGGUAUAACAGUUGGAAACGACUGCUAAUACCGCAUACGAUUGGAUUGCCCAGGUGGGAUUAGCUAGUUGGUGAGUUAAUGCCUCACCAAGGAGACGAUCCCUAGCUGGUCUGAGAGGAUGAGCAGACACACUGGAACUGAGAAAAGGUCCAGAAUCCUACGGGAGGCAGCAGUGGGGAAUAUUGCACAAUGGGGGAAACCCUGAUGCAGCCAUGCCGCGUGUGUGAAGAAGGCCUUGGGGUUGGAAAGCACUUUCAGCGAGGAGGCGUUACUCACAGAAGAAGCACCGGCUAACGCCGUGCCAGCCGCCGCGGUAAUUC
rnacentral:rRNA from 1 species